rnacentral:lncRNA from 1 species
AUGACUUUAACAGAGAACUCCAGUGAUGCCACCUGGUCCUGUGCCACAUCACAUGCAGCCCUGAAGAGCAGUGUCAUCUGCUCUUCCUGCAGGUCACUGUCAAAGGCACUAAUAUAUCUGAAGAAGUGCUGCUUGAAUAACAAUGGUUCCUGUUUAUCACAUGCUGACAGGGGUCAGGCAUUGAGAAGGAUGCUGCAAAUACCAUGGUUUCCUAGACUCUGCAGAGGCUCUUUUUGCAUAUUAAACUUCAGUCAGCUUCAAAUGCAAGCCCAAACAGCCCUGCUAAAACAUUUUGUUCAAUGA